CUCAAACAUGAUAGAGGAGAUGCCCUUCACCCUCAACCACCUAAUCAGGAUGUAUAGUCCCCGUCUUCUCUAUGGGGGCCUAAUCAAACUCCGUUGUCGAGCCCCGAGGUUCCUUUUUACCUGCAUCGAGGAGCCCGAGAACGAGGGAUAGUAAGCCGAUUCGUCCGAGUGAGGACUUCUGACCUGAUUCCGGUGGAAAAGAUGUUGUUCCCCGAAAGGUGGAAUGCUGGACGUAAGUAAACGUGUUGUCGGGUCUUCCUUCGUUUUUCUUUGACGAUAUUUCUUCAAGCAUCUAACUCUAUUUCUCUUGCUUUUUUAGCCGUAGCAACCUACCCCGGUGCAGUUUCGGACCUCCAAGAUUGGAUCGACCGCUUAUACUUGAUUUGCCCAUAUGUUGAACGAGUGUGGCGAAAUUUAUCCUGAGCCCGGUGGGAAGCCAAAGAUCAUGGUCUGGGGAAGUCCCUUUAACGAAGGAGGCACCACCUAUUGAUGGGGACGCCCUAGUGCCUGGCGAGAAGAAGAGAAGGUAGGGGGGUUUGCUGGUCGGGCCGCCGGAGUUCAAGAGGGUUAAGGUGGAAUGAUCCAAUGUUGACCCGGCAGCUCUGACCUUGGAGACGGCGGGAAACCCUCGAGUUGAAGGCGAGGGGGAAAAUAGCUUCCCAACGGUCUCCGAGGAGUGUAUAGACUCGGCUGAUCCUCGGGCCGUAGGGAUGGAGGCUUCUGAACCGGAGCCUGAUGCUGAUGUGGCCCAUCUUUGUGGUGGGGAGGCAACGGAUAGAGUAUCGAGUACUACCCCUGAGUUGGCUGGCGGCCAUAAUUCUUCCUGAGUUGAGUUGCCCUUGGUAGGCAGUUCGAAGGGGCCCAGCUCCGGGGUCCAGGGUGAACAAAGGAUGGAGGCUUUGGCUGAUCCUGUCAACUCUAUGAUCAUUAUUGAUUCCCCUCAGGGAGUGAUCCUACUGCCUCAUGGAGUGCAAGAUGCCCCACGUGAAGAGCCCUCUAAUGCAAGGGCACUAGUCAAAGGCGGAGAUACGCCCGAGAGAUCGCCGACCGUUCUUGAGGGAAGUCCCGAGGUUGAUGCUUCAUUCGUUUUUGGCAAGAUGGGCAGACUUUGAAAGCGGGCUAAAGCACUUUACAGCCAGGCUUUCACCCAGUACCAGGAUGAGGUGAACCGUCGCGAGUGUGAGAAAGCCCAUCUUACCGAGCAGUUUGAGAAGGAAAACACUUUGCUGAGAGAGGAACUUUGGGCCAGAGAUGCUGAAAUUUCCGAGCUCAGUCAGUAUAUAAGGGAAAUAACUUACGAGAGGGACACCCUCCAGGGGAAGGUAACCUCAGUCGAGCGUCAGCUCCAGGAUGCGAAGGAGGAUAGUGACAAGUACAUAGGUCUCCAUUCCGAGCUGGUGGCUGCACUCUAUCAGAUCAAAGCCUAAGUCAAGGCGUUUGUGUCCUCGCACAGGGAGGAAGUUAUUAACGCAAAUGCUCGCAUUGAGAGGGCGUCUGAGGGGGCUAGCCCAAAUUUACCUCGAGCUGCGGAUUGUGCCUGGCUAGAUUCUCGAAAGUAGACCGUUGGAGGUAUGUCGGAUGACAGUUUGUGUGGUGCAAAAAAUGAGGGUGGAUCCCCGGAGAGGGAAAAUGUCAUUAAAAAGGGGUCGUCGGGGGACUCGUAGCUGUCAAGGUGCAACCCUUGGGGAGCCAUUGAGAAUGUAGGCUCGACAAUGGAUUAGGAUCCUGUUGAUUUUCCUGUUUGAAUAUAAUACUUUCAUAUUGGCAUAUGUAUAAAGUAAACCAUGUGGCUUAGCUUCUUCCACUCCCCUUUUUGUUCGGAAUUUGGCCAGGUGAUCCCAUUUUUAGAGUUGGCAAGAAUCUUUAGAUUCAUGAUACGGCCCUGGGGCUCAUUAGGCAAGCUUGGGUGCUUUUACGCGCCUGAUCGAUGCGACAUUUAGUAUAAGCUGGCGUUAGAGCUCUUAUGCUUUGCUCAACUAUUUUGGGUUUAGUCUCUGAGUCGGGCUUCGACUCGAGCUCAUUCGACCCUCAAGCUUCUGUGUUUUCAUGGGCGGGCAAUAAUGGUUCUUGCACUUUGCGUUCGGGCAUAUGUAUUUUAACUAUUUUGGGUUCGGUCUCCGAGUUGGGUUUCGACUCGAGCUCAAUCGACCCUCAAGUUUUGUAUUUGUGCGGGCUGGCGACAAUGUCUCUUAUGCCUUGGGUUGAAGCGACCUUCUAUAUGUGUGACCCUAAGGCUCAUUAAGCUGACAAUAAUGGCUCUUACGCUUUGC